rnacentral:lncRNA from 1 species
AGAACAUAUGAUGAUCCGGGGGCCUCUUUGUAUUUGGUGCCUACUUACCAUGUACUGGGGGGCUUGAGGCAGGAAGGACCAGGAGCACCUGGGACUCAGAAUUUGAGCUUGUCUUUUUGCCCUUGGGCUUCCUGCCCUGGAGUCCUCAGGCUUCUUUUCUGGAGCAGCAAGUGUCCAGGGACAGCUGGGGCCUUAUCUAGAGGCACCAGGUCCUUGGGUCUUUGACUGCCCUGAGCUCAGUAGCUCCACCCCUCAGCCUACAGCCACUAAACCCCAGAACCUGGGCCCUUCCCUGCCCCCAUUCCUGCGGCCUUCAUUGCUGCAUCCGGUGGAGGCCCAGCUGGGGGCCGGUGCUGGAGUUACCUCUGCUCCAUGCCAUUGCAGAUGGACAGAUGGUUCCAUUAUAAACUUCAUCUCCUGGGCACCAGGCAAACCUCGGCCUGUCGGCAAGGACAAGAAGUGCGUGUACAUGACAGCCAGCCGAGAGGACUGGGGGGACCAGAGGUGCCUGACAGCCUUGCCCUACAUCUGCAAGCGCAGCAACGUCACCAAAGAAACGCAGCCCCCAGACCUG